UACGAAGGGGGCUAGCGUUGUUCGGAAUCACUGGGCGUAAAGCGCACGUAGGCGGAUUUUUAAGUCAGGGGUGAAAUCCUGGAGCUCAACUCCAGAACUGCCUUUGAUACUGGGAAUCUCGAGUCCGGGAGAGGUGAGUGGAACUGCGAGUGUAGAGGUGAAAUUCGUAGAUAUUCGCAAGAACACCAGUGGCGAAGGCGGCUCACUGGCCCGGUACUGACGCUGAGGUGCGAAAGCGUGGGGAGCAAACAGG
rnacentral:rRNA from 1 species